rnacentral:rRNA from 1 species
AGGGCACCACCAGGAGUGGAGCCUGCGGCUUAAUUUGACUCAACACGGGAAAACUCACCCGGCCCGGACACUGGAAGGAUUGACAGAUUGAGAGCUCUUUCUUGAUUCAGUGGGUGGUGGUGCAUGGCCGUUCUUAGUUGGUGGAGUGAUUUGUCUGGUUAAUUCCGAUAACGAACGAGACUCUAGCCUACUAAAUAGAUCGUCGGCUUACAAACGCCGACGAGACUUCUUAGAGGGACAGGCGGCGAUUCAGCCGCACGAAACAGAGCAAUAACAGGUCUGUGAUGCCCUUAGAUGUCCGGGGCCGCACGCGCGCUACACUGAAGUGAUCAGCGUGCAAUUUACGUUUGGUGAUCUGUCAAGAUUGCCCAACCCGUUGAACCUUCUUCGUGAUUGGGAUAGGGGAUUGUAAUUAUUCCCCUUGAACGAGGAAUUCCCAGUAAGCGCAAGUCAUAAGCUUGCGUUGAUUACGUCCCUGCCCUUUGUACACACCGCCCGUCGCUACUACUGAUUGAAUGA